GCCUGGGUGGCUCAGUCGGUUGAGCCUCUGACUUCGGCUCAGGUCACGAUCUCACGGUUCGUGAGUUCGAGCCCCACGUCGGGCU
rnacentral:tRNA from 1 species